GCAGUUGUAAAUGGCGCCUGACGCGCAGCAGUUUGAGCAUCUGUCAGUCGCGUAGGCUUUCGACGUUGACACGUUUCUUGCGGUCAGCUCGCGUACACAAUGACCCGGUACGACCCUAAAGAACGGUUCAGGUACCUCAAGGAGUUGGUGACAGAGUUUAACACUAGCUGCUCCAACGAGGCGAAAGAGCAGGUUCUGGCCAACUUGGCUAACUUUGCCUACGACCCGAUCAACUACGACCAUCUCAAACGCCUGAACAUUGUCAGCUUAUUUAUGGAUCAGUUGGACAGUGCCAAUGAUAACCUGAGAGAGUUUGCCAUUGGCGGCAUCUGCAACCUCACUUCGGACCAGGACUUCCGUACAGAGGUCCUAAAGCCCGACAACCUCAACAAGCUGAUCAGCUGCCUAUCAACAUCGCAGGAAGAGACAGUGUUGUCUGCAAUAACAACGCUUAUUUCUCUGGGACUGUCCGGUUGCCAGUCAGAUAUCACAACAGCAUCUGUGAUCGACUGCAUGGUGCGAUAUUCAGAAUCUCCGAACACGAGGCUCAGCAACCUCGCCAAGCUUUUCCUCGAAGAUAUCUGCAGCCCGGAACAGAUCAACAGUGUGGCGAAUGCUGCUUCUGCUGCUGUUCCAUAGAGUAAAAUGGGUGUUAUGUGGCUUCAAGUUGCAUGGCCCACUGGAUCUUUGUACAGAUACUUGCAUUUUUGUACCCCUUUUCGAAUGGGGUUGUUUCGUUAAUAAAAGGCCAUUCUGGCCCUAAGUGUAACAUGAAUCGUAGCCAGAAGAGGCAUAAGAAGUGUACCUUAUAGAAUAGGCGUACCUUAUAGGCCCAUUGUAUUUACAGAAGUCAUUUCUAACCAUGAUGCUUGUCAUUGUAAACUGGGUCAUAAUAAUGAGAGAUUGUGUAGAGUAUCGGUAUAGAGAUUAACGUGCCAAAAAAUGCUGAGACGAAACGUACGUAGUCUUUAUAGCUGCCAAUUGCAAACUGAUUUCUCCGCUUGCUAGCACAAGAUUGUAUAAAUCACAAUCGCACAUCAUGAAGCACACGAUCGCAGCAGCAUGUGCAUCAUCAUCGGUGAACACAAUAGCUGUAGAGAGCCUGUGCACUAACAAUGCUAAACAAGAUACAAACUUACAUUGAACCAAAAGGACAUUUCCAAUGAAAUUGCUAUCUACUAAGUUUUCAGUUUUCAUCACUUUUCCACCGUUCUUUUUAAACCUUUUUUUUAUUUUUGUGUUGACAAUUUUUUAUCGUGAAGGCCAAUUUGAUUCCUAGAGUCUAGUGUCACAUGGGAGGUUUUCGGCAUUCAUAACGUGAGACUUGUUUUAACGUAAAAGCAUUGAAAAACACAUUUCACGGAAACUUUGCGGUCACUGUAGGCGUGGGCAACGUUUGUUGUGAGCGAAAAAUCAUCUUGGGUGUGACUGAACAAUCGAGAAAGACACAAAUAAAGUAAGUAAUAAAAUUUCGUGGUUCGAAUCAGAAUUGAACUCGGGCAGUUUGCAUGGCUAGCAGGUGUUCUACCAUACAGCCAAGCAUCUGCUUGUGAAUAUAGUGAAAAUAACUUACUUUGAUUGGAAAUGCAGUGCAAGCAACUUUCACACUUUACAAACACACGCGUCUCGUAUACAUGCUUCGUAAUACUACAUGAAAUAUUGCAGUAACAUUGCGUUGUACAAGCGUCCAUUGCAAUCAAGCGUCGGAACAUGUGCUUAUCAUAACGAAUUCAUGAUUUAAAGUCUGCCACCAAUUGCAAAAGGCACACACAUUACAGUUUAUUUAAGACCACGUAGUGGGUGCAUAGCAAGUUCGAAAACGUUUCACACGCAUAAUUGCUCGGGGUUUAAACGAACACCAAAGGUAAAUAUUAAGCCGACGUUGAUUGUUGAAUGAGCGGUUCAGAAACCUCGAAGUGCUUAUUUCGAAAUGAAAUCGCAUUUCAGUGGUCCGCAUCGCAUUAGCGCACUUCGAAUCGCCCUUCUGAAAGCGGGUCUUUCUGAGGUCACUGUUGCCGUUCCCAAGGUUGCCCGCCUUUACUGUGCAACCACCGACACUGUUGGCAGCAGAGCGAAAGUAGCGGGAGCUACAGCAGCAAUAACGACCACUGAACAAUUUUCUGCUUGCUUGGUUCAACUGAACUCCACUAGAUGGCACCACCUACUCAGCCUAACCGGUGAAAACAAAACUUUUGAACCACUCGCGUCAUUCCCCGUAGUGACACCAGGCAGUUCUUUAUCUAUGAAUCGAACAUAAACAGAUGAGCAGCAUUUUUAUUUCGUGUUGUAAUGUACACAAGGUUCUUUUUUAAUGCUGCUCAUUUGAUUACCAGUGUUUAAUUGUAGUAAGACGCUCUCGCAUCAUUGGGAUUAUUUAAAAAAUGUCGCUCUCGUGGCGUGGCGCAUGUGGUGUCGUACGUUUACCCUAAUUUUUCUAUUACUAGAGCACUGCUGUUGAAUUGAUGUUCUAGACAUACCCAACACUGAUCUUUCACUCUGAAGUAAAUUAUUUGCCUUCAGUGUAAAGCAUGCUACCCAUUACACAGAAUGCAGCCAUACACAAAAGUUUCACUGACAAGCCACAUUCAACUUUUAUUGAUUAAAUUGUAGUAAUCCACAAUUUAAUUUUCCCGAGUUAGGUAAUAUAACAAAAAGUACGCACCAAGUGGUUGAAGUAUGCACUAGGGACAGGGUAUGGCUAUCGAGGUCAACUCUUAAUGGAGAAACUGAAGGGUCCCCUCAAUUUUUUAUCUCUUGACAAACGCAUUAGUGGCCAUAAUCAUAUGAUUUUGAGGGCUUGGCAAUGUGUGCAUGACUACCUGUCCUUUGUUUCAAUACGGAUCUUGUUCUAAAUUCGCAGCAUUUCUUAGCAAAUUUGGCGACUUGACUGAUAGGUGCACUUACUUUUGCUGACAGUGUGCAGGUUGACAGUGUCUGUUUCUGCUGAUGGUGUUAUUCUGUAUUUAUUCUUUAUUCAAUUAUUACCCUACUUAGCUCGAAGGCGCUGCAGCAGGCAAGUUACAAUGUCAAGAAAAAUAAAUCUGCAUUAAUACAGCACACUUUGUUCUCUUGACAAACAAUUUCAUUUGCUGAUGGAACGAACAAAGAAUGAAUUAGCAUACAAAUUUGAUCUGUUAAGGUACUCUGAAACCUUAACAGUGAUCAUUGUACAAAAAGACAUAACUAGGACUGUGGAGGUACAUUUCUUUUUGAAUACUGGUUUUACCAUGAAAUCUUUGAUACAGGAGCUUUAAUCAGUUUCCUUCAAAAAGAUGAGAAUAAUUCCCAUCCUAGCUCGUUUUUCCUAUUGGUGCAACUGUCAUUUCUUAAGUACUGAUAGGACAAACCUUGCCACUCUGUUUCUAUGCUUCUUUCACAAGUAUUUUAGGGUUAGAUGCUCACAUUCCAGAAGGACUAAAAAUUGGUAGUUGGUGCCUGUUCUAUUAGUGUUUCAUCUCACUUUAUUUUUGCACCUUAGUAACUAUACCACUAUGUCUGACCUAGUACUAACUCCAACAAGAGCUCUGCUGCAUGUAUUGUGUUAAUAUUAUACUGUGGUUACAUAACAUGGAUGCAUUGAAUAAAGAGAUGUUACGAUUAAAA
rnacentral:misc_RNA from 1 species